UUUGGAGAUAUUCAAGACUGGUCUGGAUGCCUAACGAUGCGAUCUAUUGCAGGGUACCUGCCUUAGUAGGGAGGCUGUACUUGAUGAUCUCUUGAGGUCUCUUCCAACCCCUGAAAUUCUGUGAUUCUGUGAUUCUCUGGCCCUUGGGUAAAUUCUGUUGUUCUGUUUUGUUAGGGUGUGGCCAAUGUAUGCUAUCUUCUUUUCUCUACUUUUGUUCAGCUAUUGGUAAUUGUGUAUACCUCAAAUUCGUACAAUCAUGGAAUGGUUUGAGUUGGAAGGGACUUUUAAAGGUCAUCUAGUCCAAUUCCCCUGCAAUAAGCAGGGACACCUACAGCUAGAUCAGGUGCUCAGAGCUCUCUCCAUCCAGACCUUAAAUGUCUCCAAGGACAGGGCACCUGCUUCUCUCUGUGGAACCUGUUCCACUGCCUCACCACCCUUAUUGUAAAAAAAACAACUUCAUUUUAUCCAAUCUAAAUCUCCACUUUUUUUUGUUUGAAACUAUUUCCCCUUGUCCUGUCACAACAGACCUUGCUGAAGAGUGUGUCCCCUUCCUUCUUACAGCCCCGUCUCUCACCCUAUUGUCACAGGGGAGAUGUUCCAUCCCUGGGAUCACUUUUGUGGCCUCCUCUGGGCCAACAAUUGCCACUGUUCUUUAUCUCAUCAUUUUAUUAUGAGUAUCUGGUACAGAUCUCUAACUGAAAGUUGUUUAUAUGGUGUUUGAUAAACCUAUUGCUUCUCCAUAGUCCACAGUUUGUGAAGACAUUAUCUGUGUUAAACCAAGUGGCCCUUCCCUUGCCUGCCUGAACCUCGCACCCCAGGCAGGGUCACAAGGGCUCUGAGACACACUGCCCAAGUCAAUAAACAUGACAACAAUGGUAGCAGUUACUCUUGCUAGAACAAUGGUGCCACAUAAAGUCAUAUUUAUUUUCAUAGCCUUUGUUUUGUGACCUGUUGAUUAUAAGACUUUACUGUUUUGCUCUUCUGACUGAGCUGUUUGCCUUUUGUUGUAUCUCAUCCGCUGAUGAACAGAUAUCCCCAACAAACCCAGGCUGCCAAACACCGCUGGGACUCCAGUCCCUGUGCCAGAUAUUUGUUACAUAGCAGUACUACUGCAGGGAGAUGAUGUACCUUUGACUAUGCCAACAGUGACAUCAAAGCAAUCAUUUAAUUUCUGGCAUACUGAGAACACUUUGGAAAAUAUAAGUGAUUUUACAAUGAAAUUUGUAAAUUUUCAGAGUCUUGCUAUAGCAGCACCACUAUCAAAUCCUUUCUUACAGUCACUGAAGUGUGAGAGUUGCCAUUAAUUUCUUUGUUCAUUAUUAUUAUGUAGUGUGAACGUGUGGUCAAUGAAGGAACUACUAGCAAGUAAGCCAACACGCCGUACUUAAUGUCAUGGUAGUUUCUCUUCAUAAUAAUUGUACAAGACCCCUUCUUGGACCAUGAUGCACUUCCAGUUGCUUCAGUCACUUAAAAACCUCAAAAGCAAUUCUGUUACAGUGUUCUGUUCCUUCUUUUCUAUGAGGUGAAUUUUAGUCCUUGUGCUCUACUGUAAUUUCAUUCUUUGUAUCAUUUGAGUGGAAGCGCACUUGUUUUCCCAUCUGACAGUAUUUAUAGCUCUGCAAUUUGUUCUUGGAAGUUUUCAGUUUGCCGUAGAUAGUCUUUGUGAAUAACCAGCUCUUUUCACUGGAGUUCUUACUUGAAGUACCACAUUCGAUCCUCUUUCAGUUGAGGGACUAUUUAGUACACAAGAGAAGUAGUCUAUGAUGCACAUUGACGCAGCUUGUCCUUCCCUUUCUUUUCUGUGCUUGUUGCAAUUUCCUUCUCUUUCCUUCCUUUGGAAAGUCCCAACAAAUUCCAAGCCAUACCAGGGAAUGUGCUUCUGAUGGGUCUCCACGUCUAGUCUAUGUGAUUGGAAAGGCAUUCAAAGUCCUUCCAAAUGGAAAACUCAUUUGAAGGGGUAAAAGUUGGCAACCAUCCCAUCAUGCUUCCUAUUACAUGACUAAACCACUGACUUUGGUGAUCCCUUUUCAUGAGCCUUUUAAUAAGAAAAACAGUAAUUUCAAUAGCCUCUUUGACCAUAACAUCGAAUCCUUCAUUUCAAUAAUCAGAUGCAGUUAAAAGUGAAGAGAUAAAUCUUGCUCUAAGGAUGAAAUACUUGAAAUGUGUAAAAUAUUUAUUUUCCUUUGCUUCAAGAGAGCCACGAGGAAAAAUCUUGAUCAGAGAUCAUUAUUUUUUCCUUUUCUCUGUGGACUACUAUCAGAAGUACUGAUUUGUUUUAUAUGUAAAAUAGGAACUCAUGCAAUAUAGCUUAUGUGAUUAUACACUUUUGCAAAUAAAAGAAGUGAUAUG
ensembl:lncRNA